UACAGAGGAGCCAAGCGUUGUCCGGAUUGACUGGGCGUAAAGCGCACGCAGGCGGCCGUGCACGUGGGGUGUGAAAGCUGGCGGCUUAACUGCCAGACGCCACCUCAUACGGCACGGCUCGAGCCCGUGAGAGGUCCACGGAAUUGCCGGUGUAGUGGUGAAAUGCGUAGAGAUCGGCAGGAACCAGACCCAGGGGGAAACGAGUGGACUGGCACGGUGCUGACGCUCAGGUGCGAAAGCGUGGGGAGCGAACCGG
rnacentral:rRNA from 1 species